CAGCAGGUAGCUUCCUAGUAGAAUGUUGAGCAGUUUCUGAAGUUAUUGCCUUCGCGGCAGGCAGGAAUCGACCCAUCAUGAAAUCUCGAGUUUGUGGAUCUGUAGAGAUAGUACCAGAUGGUUUUAUAUCUGGACUAUCCAGCCCGCUCACACCACUUACACUGCAGUUCAAGAAGAAUGAUUCACUCCGGGAAAGUGUAUCAAGUGCACCUAC
rnacentral:misc_RNA from 1 species